UACGUAGGGUGCAAGCGUUAAUCGGAAUUACUGGGCGUAAAGCGUGCGCAGGCGGUUUUGUAAGACAGGUGUGAAAUCCCCGGGCUUAACCUGGGAACUGCAUUUGUGACUGCAUCGCUGGAGUGCGGCAGAGGGGGAUGGAAUUCCGCGUGUAGCAGUGAAAUGCGUAGAUAUGCGGAGGAACACCGAUGGCGAAGGCAGCUUACUACAGGAUGAUUGACGCUGAGGCACGAAAGCGUGGGGAGCAAACAGG
rnacentral:rRNA from 1 species